rnacentral:rRNA from 1 species
GACAGAGGUCCCGAGCGUUAGGCGGAAUCACUGGGCUUAAAGCGUGUGUAGGCGGAUUGGUAAGUACCUUGUGAAAUCCCACGGCUUAGCCGUGGAACUGCUUGGUAUACUGCUUAUCUUGGGCCACUUAGGGGUCACCGGAACAAACGGUGGAGCGGUGAAAUGCGUAGAUAUCGUAAGGAAGACCAGUGGCGAAGGCGAGUUUCUGGACAGUAACUGACGCUGAGGCACGAAGGCCAGGGGAGCAAACGGG